GUUGGGAAUCCAUCGGACUUUGCCCGGGGAUGUUCAUUUGUUGUGCCAUCCAUCUUAGCAAUGACAAGUGAAUCGAUGCCACGUAGAUGUUUGGCAAGCUUGUUGUAAGUUGGUUCCAGUGCUUGGCAAUGCCCGCACCAAGGAGCAUAAAUCUCGAGGAGAACAUCCUUCGAUUCAUCUAACACAAUUUCCUCGAAGUUGUCUCCAACCACUAUUUUCACGUCACCAUCAUUAGUCUCAGGAAUGGGAUCCGACUUAUAAAAGGGUUUUAGCUUGUCUUCCAAGAAAUUUUCUCCAAAAGCCUUAAUAUUUUCCAAGGUAACUUCCUUAUCAAGCACAAAUUUCUUGCUGUCUUCAUUUCCA
rnacentral:misc_RNA from 1 species